rnacentral:rRNA from 1 species
GAUGAACGCUGGCGGCGUGCCUAAUACAUGCAAGUCGAGCGAACGGACGAGAAGCUUGCUUCUCUGAUGUUAGCGGCGGACGGGUGAGUAACACGUGGAUAACCUACCUAUAAGACUGGGAUAACUUCGGGAAACCGUAGCUAAUACCGGAUAAUAUUUUGAACCGCAUGGUUCAAAAGUGAAAGACGGUCUUGCUGUCACUUAUAGAUGGAUCCGCGCUGCAUUAGCUAGUUGGUAAGGUAACGGCUUACCAAGGCAACGAUGCAUAGCCGACCUGAGAGGGGGAUGGGCCACAAGGGAACUGAGACACGGUCCAAACUCCGACGGGAGGAAGCAGUAGGGAAUCUUCCGCAAUGGGCGAAAGCCUGACGGAGAAACGCCGCGUGAGGGAUGAAGGUCUUCGGAUCGAAAAACUCUGUUAUUAGGGAAGAACAUAUGUGUAAGUAACUGGGCACAUCUGGACGGUACCUAAUCAGAAAGCCACGGCUAACUACGUG